rnacentral:misc_RNA from 1 species
GAUGAAGAACGUAGCGAAAUGCGAUAAGUAAUGUGAAUUGCAGAAUUCAGUGAAUCAUCGAGUCUUUGAACGCACAUUGCGCCCCCUGGUAUUCCGGGGGGCAUGCCUGUCCGAGCGUCAUUGCCGCCCUCAAGCACGGCUUGUGUGUUGGGCCCCCGCCCCCCGGCUUCGGGGGGCGGGCCCGAAAGGCAGCGGCGGCACCGCGUCCGGUCCUCGAGCGUAUGGGGCUUCGUCACCCGCUCUGUAGGCCCGGCCGGCGCCCGCCAGCGACCCCAAUCAAUCUUUCCAGGUUGACCUCGGAUCAGGUAGGGAUACCCGCUGAACUUAAGCAUAUCAAUAAGCGGAGGA